GGGUGGACUUUUUUAAUCUUCGUGUGAGUAGGGGUGGACUAUGUAAGUUUCUAUGUGAGUAAAAUUUAAUUCAUCUUUACAAAAUUAUAGUUUUGAAUCUAUAUUAAAAAAAUAUAAAAAGAAGUUGGCUCUUACCAAAAGAAGUAGUACCUCUCAUACCUAUAAACAUUAAAAUAAGAAGUCAGUGAUGUCAAGUGAAUAGCAAAUUAAUAAACUUAACCAACUUGAU
rnacentral:lncRNA from 1 species